GAUGAACGCUGGCGGCGUGCCUAAAACAUGCAAGUCGAACGGUUCCAGCAAUGGGACAGUGGCGAACGGCGGAGUAAUACGCGGGCAAACGUGCCCCGAAGACCGGGAUAGUCAGCCGAAAGGCUGGGUAAUACCGGAUGUUGGCGAUCUCUUCACCUGAUAGGAUCGUUAAAUGGUUUUUUCGCUUUCGGGAGCGGCUCACGGCCUAUCAGGUAGUUGGUGG
rnacentral:rRNA from 1 species